UAUAGAUACGUGUGCACGAAAAACGGCUUUCCUGAAGCCCUAUCGCCUUGAAACUCGCGGAAACGCAUUUUC